rnacentral:rRNA from 1 species
GCAGCAGCCGCGGGAAUACGUAUGUCACAAGCGUUAUCCGGAUUUAUUGGGCGUAAAGCGCGUCUAGGUGGUUAUGUAAGUCUGAUGUGAAAAUGCAGGGCUCAACUCUGUAUUGCGUUGGAAACUGUGUAACUAGAGUACUGGAGAGGUAAGCGGAUCUACAAGUGUAGAGGUGAAAUUCGUAGAUAUUUGUAGGAAUGCCGAUGGGGAAGCCAGCUUACUGGACAGAUACUGACGCUAAAGCGCGAAAGCGUGGGUAGCAAACAGGAUUAGAUACCCGCGUAGUCCCUGUCUCUUAUACA